rnacentral:rRNA from 1 species
CAGCAGCCGCGGGAAUACCGAGGGUGCAAGCGUUAAUCGGAAUUACUGGGCGUAAAGCGCGCGUAGGUGGUUUGUUAAGUUGGAUGUGAAAUCCCCGGGCUCAACCUGGGAACUGCAUCCAAAACUGGCAAGCUAGAGUAUGGUAGAGGGUGGUGGAAUUUCCUGUGUAGCGGUGAAAUGCGUAGAUAUAGGAAGGAACACCAGUGGCGAAGGCGACCACCUGGACUGAUACUGACACUGAGGUGCGAAAGCGUGGGGAGCAAACAGGAUUAGAUACCCCUGUAGUCCCUGUCUCUUAUAA